GACGAACGCUGGCGGCGUGCCUAAUACAUGCAAGUAGAACGCUGAAGAGAGGAGCUUGCUCUUCUUGGAUGAGUUGCGAACGGGUGAGUAACGCGUAGGUAACCUGCCUUGUAGCGGGGGAUAACUAUUGGAAACGAUAGCUAAUACCGCAUAACAAUGGAUGACCCAUGUCAUUUAUUUGAAAGGGGCAAAUGCUCCACUACAAGAUGGACCUGCGUUGUAUUAGCUAGUAGGUGAGGUAACGGCUCACCUAGGCGACGAUACAUAGCCGACCUGAGAGGGUGAUCGGCCACACUGGGACUGAGACACGGCCCAGACGCCUACGGGAGGCAGCAGUAGGGAAUCUUCGGCAAUGGGGGCAACCCUGACCGAGCAACGCCGCGGGAGUGAAGAAGGUUUUCGGAUCGUAAAGCUCUGUUGUAAGUCAAGAACGAGUGUGAGAGUGGAAAGUUCACACUGUGACGGUAGCUUACCAGAAAGGGACGGCUAACUACGUG
rnacentral:rRNA from 1 species